GCCGAGGCCGAAAGGCGUAGGCGAUGGCCAACAGGUUGAAAUUCCUGUACCACCUCCUCACCGUUUGAGCAAUGGGGGGACGCAGAAGGAUAGGGUAAGCGCGCUGUUGGAUUAGCGCGUCCAAGUAGUUAGGCUGACAACGAGGAAAAUCCCGUUGUCAUAUAAGCUGAGCUGUGAUGGCGAGGGAACUAUAGUACCGAAGUUCCUGAUUCCACACUGCCAAGAAAAGCCUCUAGCGAGGUGUGAGGUGCCCGUACCGCAAACCGACACAGGUAGGCGAGGAGAGAAUCCUAAGGUGAGCGAGAGAACUCUCGUUAAGGAACUCGGCAAAAUGACCCCGUAACUUCGGGAGAAGGGGUGCUUUUUAGGGUGAAUAGCCCGGAAAAGCCGCAGUGAAUAGGCCCAGGCGACUGUUUAGCAAAAACACAGGUCUCUGCGAAGCCGCAAGGCGAAGUAUAGGGGCUGACGCCUGCCCGGUGCUGGAAGGUUAAGGGGAGAGGUUAGCGCAAGCGAAGCUUUGAACUGAAGCCCCAGUAAACGGCGGCCGUAACUAUAACGGUCCUAAG
rnacentral:ncRNA from 1 species